AUUGAACGCUGGCGGCAUGCCUUACACAUGCAAGUCGAACGGUAACAGGUCUUCGGAUGCUGACGAGUGGCGAACGGGUGAGUAAUACAUCGGAACGUGCCCGAUCGUGGGGGAUAACGGAGCGAAAGCUUUGCUAAUACCGCAUACGAUCUACGGAUGAAAGCAGGGGACCGCAAGGCCUUGCGCGGACGGAGCGGCCGAUGGCAGAUUAGGUAGUUGGUGGGAUAAAAGCUUACCAAGCCGACGAUCUGUAGCUGGUCUGAGAGGACGACCAGCCACACUGGGACUGAGACACGGCCCAGACUCCUACGGGAGGCAGCAGUGGGGAAUUUUGGACAAAGGGCGAAAGCCUGAUCCAGCCAUGCCGCGUGCAGGAUGAAGGCCUUCGGGUUGUAAACUGCUUUUGUACGGAACGAAAAGACUCUUUCUAAUAAAGAGGGUCCAUGACGGUACCGUAAGAAUAAGCACCGGCUAACUACGUG
rnacentral:rRNA from 1 species